rnacentral:misc_RNA from 1 species
AGCAGCCGCGGUAAUUCCAGCUCCAAUAGCGUAUAUUAAAGUUGUUGCAGUUAAAAAGCUCGUAGUUGAAUUUCGGGAUCAAUACGUCGGUCGUGCUUCGGUACGUACUGGCGUAAUUAAUUUCUCCCUUCUGACGAACCAUGAUGUCAUUAACUUGGUGUCAUGGGAAAUCAGGACUGUUACUUUGAAAAAUUAGAGUGUUUAAAGCAGGCUCACGCUUGAAUACAUUAGCAUGGAAUAAUGAAAUAGGACGUUCGAUCCUAUUUUGUUGGUUUUUAGGAUCAACGUAAUGAUUAAUAGGGAUAGUUGGGGGCAUUAGUGUUCAAUUGUCAGAGGUGAAAUUCUUGGAUUUAUUGAAGACUAACUACUGCGAAAGCAUUUGCCAAGGAUGUUUUCAUUAAUCAAGAACGAAAGUUAGGGGAUCGAAGACGAUCAGAUACCGUCGUAGUCUUAACCAUAAACUAUGCCGACUAGGGAUCGGGAUGAUGUUAAUUUUUUAAUGUACUCAUUCGGCGCCUUA